AUUGAACGCUGGCGGCAUGCCUUACACAUGCAAGUCGAACGGCAGCACGGGAGCAAUCCUGGUGGCGAGUGGCGAACGGGUGAGUAAUAUAUCGGAACGUGCCCAGUCGUGGGGGAUAACGUAGCGAAAGCUACGCUAAUACCGCAUACGAUCUAUGGAUGAAAGCGGGGGAUCGCAAGACCUCGCGCGAUUGGAGCGGCCGAUAUCAGAUUAGGUAGUUGGUGGGGGUAAAAGCCUACCAAGCCUUCGAUCUGUAGCUGGUCUGAGAGGACGACCAGCCACACUGGAACUGAGACACGGUCCAGACUCCUACGGGAGGCAGCAGUGGGGAAUUUUGGACAAUGGGCGCAAGCCUGAUCCAGCCAUGCCGCGUGCAGGAUGAAGGGCCUUCGGUUGUAACUAGCUUUUGUACGGUAACGAAAAGAACUCUCUCUAAUACAGGGGUGGAAGUGACGGUACCGUAAGAAUAAGACACCGGCUAACUACGUG
rnacentral:rRNA from 1 species